AACGAACGCUGGCGGCAUGCCUAACACAUGCAAGUCGAACGAGACCUUCGGGUCUAGUGGCGCACGGGUGCGUAACGCGUGGGAAUCUGCCCCUUGGUUCGGAAUAACAGUUAGAAAUGACUGCUAAUACCGGAUGAUGACGAAAGUCCAAAGAUUUAUCGCCGAGGGAUGAGCCCGCGUAGGAUUAGCUAGUUGGUGAGGUAAAGGCUCACCAAGGCGACGAUCCUUAGCUGGUCUGAGAGGAUGAUCAGCCACACUGGGACUGAGACACGGCCCAGACUCCUACGGGAGGCAGCAGUGGGGAAUAUUGGACAAUGGGCGAAAGCCUGAUCCAGCAAUGCCGCGUGAGUGAUGAAGGCCUUAGGGUCGUAAAGCUCUUUUACCAGGGAUGAUAAUGACAGUACCUGGAGAAUAAGCUCCGGCUAACUCCGUGCCAGCAGCCGCGGUAAACGUAGCGUG
rnacentral:rRNA from 1 species